rnacentral:lncRNA from 1 species
GAACUUCUGACCUCAGAUGAUCCGCCUGCCCUGGCCUCCCAAAGUGCUGGGAUUAUAGGCAUGAGCCACUACAACUCGCUUCAUCUCUCACUUUUUAAUAAACGUAUUCUUCACACCCCGUGUUCAGCAUUACCCUAGAACAGUACUUGCUGCAACAUUCAAGUUUUCCAUCUGCUUAAUCCAAUGCAGUGGGCAGCAGCUACAAAUGGCAGCUACCGGACACAUGAAACCUGAAGCUUGAGAAACCGAGGAGUGGAAUUCAUUCAUUUAAAUCGGGUCCUGAGGUCUUCUUGAUGCCCUUCUGCCUUCCUGCCCAGAGCUCCCAUUUAAUCCUUCUUUCACCUGCUUUCCCCAGGAAGAGACCCUGGGAAGAGAACAUCUCUUCCCAGGAUGGUCACCUUUACCCUGAAGUCCUUCUGGUCUGAAUAUGGCUGUGUAACCUAGUAGCUACCAUCCUUAAGAUUAUCUACAAAUAGGCCUGCAUUUGAAGUUUCUUCCAAACAAGGUGUCCAAACAAAGUCUCG